ACAGUUCAAGGUGAGCAGGCGAUGAACCCUCCGGGGUUCGUGGGGCCGGGCCGUAAAAUCGGCAGCAGAUUGUUCAACACACAUCUGUGGGACUUUA
rnacentral:ncRNA from 12 species